CUGAAUUUGAACCGCCAUGCC
rnacentral:siRNA from 1 species